GAAAUUUUACAUGGUCAGCUGAAAGUUUGCCAACAAUUUUCAUUAUAUUGAUACAAUAUUAUUAGUAUUAUUAAUGUACUAUUUUACAAAAAAAAAAAAAAAAAAAGAAGUAGUGAAAGCAUCAAGGUAGAACAUCUUUCAGCAGGAUGCAGCUAAAGCCAUAGUUCACUCAUACUGAAAAUUCUGUCAUCAUUUAAUUACACUCAAGUGCAUCCAAACCUGUAUGAGUUUCUUUCUUAUGUUGAACAUAAAGUAGACUCGUAAGAUUGAGUAAAGGUAGGAGGGUAGCUGGCUCGGACUGUCAAAAAGCAAGCAUGAACUUGAUGCAAGCUACAACAAGUAGCCAAUGCAAUGCAUCUGAAACGAACCUAAUUUCACUGGUUAAGGUUAGGGUCAGGUGUGUGGUAGGUUCAGUGGUUAGCAUUUGUGUAGCAUAUAGGAAAUCAACACUGUGACUGACACAACCAAUAAAACAUUUAGAAUCAGCUGUGGGGUGGAGUUUGCGCUUAAGUGGAUUGGGAGGAAAAUUGCACUUGCGUCAUGUGCCUGUCUGUCAAUGGGAGGAAGCCAUGCCCUAUUCUGGAGCUCCCACCCCUUUUUGGAGUUACUGUCCUCAUUUGGAGAUCUGCAGGCUGCAGUUAUCCACCUUAUCUUUCCCAUAAGAGUGGGUGCAGCCGUUUGUCUGGCUUCCAGUCUCAUCCACUUCCAGCUAUUUUUAGCUGCUUGAUAUUGCAAACUGGUGUGUGUAUUACCUUAGUUACAAACACACUGGUUUGUAGUGCAAACUGUUUUACCAUUUACUGUGUUUCGAUAUUCUUCUCGCUAUUUUCACUACGGUGGAUUAUGAACCGGACGUCUAACACAUUACCAGAAAACAGCUUACUUCCACAUUGAAAAAUAAGGUGGAUACUCUUCUUCAAAGAGCUGGCAUGAACUGAGAAGCGUGACAGCUUUUAAUGAUUAUAAAAAGAGUUUUCAAAUAUGAUGUUGAUUUUAUACAGCAGUUCAAUAAACAAGAAGUUAAUAUUUAGUGACUUUUAUUUUAGAAAUAUUUUUGUCUGAUUUUGCUCUAUUUCAUCAACAACAAUAAAACAAAAUCACAGCUAAACCACAGUGCAUCUCCAUGCAAUCACACAGCAAUUCUUUUAUGAAUGAUUCCCCCUGCAAAUCACUUAGGAGUCAAAUAUCACCUCAUAAUGUGAAGGUACAUUUUUGUUAUCGAUCAGGUGCGCCUAAAUUUUUGACUGCUGCUAAUUUUUAAAUCAGUCUCCCUUUUUAUUAAACACAAGGGCUCAUUAAUACACUGAAAAAAGUGCACAAGGCAUGUCAUUACUCUAAUGAAGUUGUUAUACUUGAGCUAACUCAAAACAUUUAAUUUUCUGUCUAGCCAUCAGUGUAAUGUAAAAAGUUUGGUUGAUUUAAAUUAGAAGUAAGUCUUGUUAGUGUAAAGUAAAUACAUUUCUGUAAAUUAAAUUAAAAAUAUUGGUUUCCAUUGUCUUCUAACGUCAUCCGUGGUCGUGCGUGUCGACGUUCAGCUUUCCGCCAUCUUGUUACACCGCAUGGAUGAACUCGGCGUGGUAAAACGGGAAUCAAGAAAAUUGGUAAGUAAUUUUAAACAUACGUUUGGGCUUAUUAUUAACAUUAUACAUGUAUGAUUUUAUAAAAUAUUAUGUUGUACUGUUGUUUUACAUACAGUUAGUAUUACUAGUUUGACGGCUCUAACUCGGCUAGAAGGUUUACAAGUUUCCCUCAUCACGAUGUUAAACCGAGUGGAAAUAAUAAAAAAAAAAAUAAUAAUAAUAAUAAUACAAGUAAACUGCUAGAGGUGAGAUGCGGUUAGAAGAAAUCUCUAGCAUUAAUCCUGAUCAUGGCAUGUCUUGAAAAACGGAGACAGUAUGAUGUUCGUCAUAGAAGACACACUGCAGGACUGCCAGACACUGCCAGAAUUUCUUUGUAACAGCCAUUAAUCGUCUGUCGUCUGCAGCUUUUAGCCUAGGAUUAUAGAAAUCCUGUAGGAUUUUCAAAAUUUGUCUCAGACGGCCAAAUCGUGGCCAAAAUCGCACAGUGUGAGCCCGGCUUAACUCUCAAACCUCUAACUCGGCUAGAAGGUUUACAAGUUUCCCUCAUCACGAUGUUAAACCGAGUGGAAAUAAAAUUAAAAAAAAAUAAUAAUAAUAAUACAAGUAAACUGCUAGAGGUGAGAUGGAUUGAUAUUGAAAUGUAGUAUAAAGACUGUUUCUGGUAUACUGGAGUGCGAUACAACAGCGUGCAUGUACUUUAUAGAUGGCACCGCCAUGUAUAACGUACAUGCACGCUUCAGACGCUUUGUAUGGACUUAACGUUGUUAUGAAGCUUUAUUAUUAUGAUGAUUUUUAUUGAUUUAUUAUGAAGCUCGCGUUCGCGAGGUAUUCGCUGUCCUUACUUGUAUAGUCUCUCAUUUAUGAUUAAUGUUAACACAUAACGGUAGCUUAACCAAACACGUCUUCAGUGAUGUGCCUAAACACUUGUUAUUUUAACGUAUUGCGUCGACCAGCUUACCCAGUAAAGAAGUCGUCUGUUUACUUUUAUGUGAGCCAGUUUGUUAUUUCUCUUUGUCUUUUGUAGGAUGGGGUACAGCUCAACAACAAUUAAGACAGGUUUUAAAUAAUCCAGUCACAUGAAAAACAUUAAUGCCGAAUUUUUGCAAAUCACGACCCUACAUUUACAGUUGAGAAUUAUGGCCUCUUUGGACAGACAGAGCUCUCAGCUUCUCCAGGUUAUUAGGAGCAAAGGUGGGGUCCUCCGUGAAAAAACGUUAAAGUUAUGGAUCAGAGUCUGGACAUAGACAUCAGAAGAGAGUGCCUGCUGAAGUGCCUGAUCAUGUACCUUCAUGUAAGAUGCAAGCUGUCUGAUCAAAGAAUACCAGGCUGACCAGAGGGAGGAAGCGGAGAGAGAAUUUGAAAAGACCACCAUGGCAUUUUUUGUGAUCCGCGAAAGUGAUGCUCUUAGUUGUGCACUGGACAUUUCCAUUGUCAUUGACGGUGUGGAAGUACUAAAUGAGUUGCCCUCUGUUGCAUGUGUCUGUGCCAUGAUGUUUGGACUCAUUUAUGCACUGAACUUAAAAUAUCCUGAAGGACUCAAAUAUACCUUUGAGGCCUUUCAAAAAAUAAUCAUUGACAUAGAGAGUAAGCAGAUGAGCCGAAGGGUGCAGAACCUCUCUUCAAAGCUGCAGGAGUACAUUUAUUUCCUUUGACCCAGCUACAGUGUUCUGCUGAUGGUAAAUUUCUUCGAAGAUGUUGGACUGUAUAAAGCCUUUUGUACAAAGUUAACUGUACUACUGUUUACUAAACCUGAUUUGUUUUAUCUUGGUUAAGUUGUGUUUUAUCUAGGGUUAGUUAAAUAGUUUACCCAAAAAUGAACAUUCUUACAUUGUUUACUCAUCCUUAAGCUAUUCAAGUAUUUAACUUCAAUUAAAUUUGGUUCAGAGACAUUUUAUGACAAUUUUUUGAUAAGUUUGAGAUAACUGAGAUAAGUUUCAUUUUGGGGUAAACUAUUCCAUUGGCUAAUUUGGUAGGUAUUUUAUUAAAAGUGUUUGGUUUUACACUGCCCAUUUUAAACCAGUUUUUGGGCCAAACUUGUUUUAACUUCAGAGGAAUUCUAAAGGUUUUAUUGUGUAGUCAGUUCUAAGUGACUGUUCAUGGAAAGAUUGCAUGUUUCUCUUUGAAAUGAUAACUGAUUCUUAUGGUGAAUUUACAUUGUAUCCAGUGUGUCUAUGUAUAUGGAUACUAAAAACUGUUAUACAGUAUGUUUUUAUAACAAUACUAUACAGAUUGUAGAAAUUUUUUAUGACAAAAAUGGUCAAGUUUAUGAUGUGUUUACAUUGUUAGUGUGUAUUGGUAUGAGAAUACUGUGCACAUUGUAAAAAAACUUGUAUUAUGACAAAAUAAAUUGUCAAAAGUU